rnacentral:ncRNA from 2 species
AUAAGUUAUAAUCUCCGAGCCAACAUCCCUAAGAGGGCGUGUGAUUACGCCUACGGGCAUUGGCCGAUUAGGGUGCGGCUGGAAACGGCCUGCGCCUCCCGCGCUUGGAAAGGAGAUAGAAGCAGCCUCUC